rnacentral:rRNA from 1 species
UACGUAGGGGGCAAGCGUUGUCCGGAUUUAUUGGGCGUAAAGAGCGUGUAGGCGGCCUGACAAGUCUGCUGUGAAAACUCGAGGCUCAACCUCGAGAUGUCGGCGGAAACUGUCUGGCUAGAGUCCGGAAGAGGAGAGUGGAAUUCCUGGUGUAGCGGUGAAAUGCGCAGAUAUCAGGAAGAACACCUAUGGCGAAGGCAGCUCUCUGGGACGGUACUGACGCUGAGACGCGAAAGCGUGGGGAGCGAACAGGAUUAGA